UCAACAGUGCACUGCAAGUUGAGGAC
rnacentral:piRNA from 1 species